CCAAGGAGGGCAGAAGAGAAGAGGCAAACACCCCAGUAGCCACUUGAAGCGUUGUGGUUUCCCCCCCUAAAGACCAUGACCUUAGAUUUGGAAUAAUUUACUGAAAGUUUUUCCUCUUUACAGAAACUCCCAAACUUAGUCAACAUUCUCUUUAAACCUAGUCUAUUUCAAGAAAUAAAAUUAAGUCAUCGGCAUACAACAAGGCUUCUACUUUUCGGGUUUUAACUGAGAGUGAGAACAAAGCAGGGGAUGUCAUACUUUUAACUAUGCUGUUUACUUAUAUAUUAAAAAGAAAGGGGCCAAUAUACAGCCCUGUUUUACUCCUCUAGUAAUCUGCAUUGGUUCUGUCAAAGUACCUUGAAACCCCAUUCUAACUCAUAUUGUAUUGUCUCGAUAUAUCCCCUGAAUGAGUCAUAGAAGUCUUUUACCAAUGUUGGUUGUAGCUAAUUUAAGCCACAACCGAUCCCUAUCCACAAGGUCAAAUACCGCAGAAAAAUCAAUAAAGGCUGUGUGUAUGUAUGUGUGUAUACACACACACACACACACACACACACACACACACACACACACUUGGACCCUGAGUAUAUUUUGAGAUUAAAUGAUGUAAGACAUAUUGUAUAUCUGGUCGAUGGUACAUCUGCCUUUCCUAAAGCCUACUUUUUCCUCAUGGAUAAUGCAUUUUUCCCAGUUCUACAAUGUCCUUCUUAAGAUACGGUGACCAGAACUGUAUGCAGUACUCCAAAUGUGGCUGCACCAUAGAUUUGUAUAAGGGCAUUAUAAUAUUAGCAUUUUUAUUUUCAAAUCAAAACAACCCCAGAAAGGGUGCUGCAGCAGCAAUUCUAUGCCUGCCAUUUCCAACCUUCACUUGAAGGUCUUCUAGACCCACCUAGUUAGGUGACUGGAAGCAAACGGCAUGUUACAGGAAAGAGGAUUGCAGAAAUGUGCCCUGGUGUGGAAAUGAGGGUCAUGCCAGUGGAGCCAUCACUCCCAGGUAGGGGAAUUGGUAGGAAAUCGGGGUGGGGGGGAGGUACCCUUUCAAAUUUUAGGCAGUAGAUAGUGAUAGGCAGGGUAAAGAAAAGCAAGGGGAAUAAAACUUGCAGUGUUUCCUCAUGAAAAGGCUCCUGUGUGGACAAAUAAAGGAGAAGAAAUGUAGCAAGAGAAGCUAUAGGUGUGGAUGUCCCAUGAUGACUCCCACUGUUAUUUAUCAAUCUACAUCACACUUGCUCCCACAAUAAACCUCUCCAUCUGGAAAACUGCACUGUUGCGCUAGUGCAAGAAGAUGGCUUAAUUGUACAGAACAUGAAGAUUCCUAUUGGAAUAAAUGAGGUGUGCUGCAGUUGCACAACUGUUGCACAAACACAAGCAUAUUUAAAUAGGCAGUUGGAGUGCACGUCGAGGGGCAAUUCCGAUGGACAGCCUCUGCAUGUGCUAUAUGGACACCCUGAGAGUGUGCUGGAAUGCGCUCCACCCAUGUUACAGAUACACUCUCAGCGUGACCUUUACACAUGUACUAGCUGUAUAUCCUCUGUACUCGUCUGCAGAGAAUACAUCUCCUUCAUCAUGCCUACACAUAAUAACCCACUUGCUCCCAGAACAGCACAACUUCUAGUGGCACAGAAUACACCUGGACAGGAUAGAGUAAAAAAAACACAACAAUUCUCUUUGUGAAUUUUCUGUAAGUAAGCACCUCAAACAGAAGUGAGUUUAUCUACUGACUUGUAGUUAUGCUUUACAUUUAUUUGAGAGCAAGUGAAUCAAACUGGUAUGUUUAUUUGUUUAAUUGGACCAGGUGAUGGACAUGCCUUUAUGCUGUGAGAGAGAUUGCUCCUUGCUGCUAUAAAUUUGUCACUCCCUAUUUAAGGGUACUGCAUUCCUGUGAUAGUAUUAUGUGACACGAUGCACCCACUCAUGUGCAAGCAGCAGCUGUUACAAUUCACUGAUACCUUUCACUGGAGAUAGGCAGGAGUGGUUGGCAGCAUCUAACAUUUUAUGGCUGUUCACUCUUGUACUCUCAGUGAGCUAAUCAGAGUAAAUGCCAGUAAACAAAUCCCUCUGGGCUUCUGGAUCUGCAACUGAGCAGCAAACACUCAGGUAUUUCACAUACUUCCAAAACAGACUCUCAGCCUACAAUUUUUACUUGUUCCCUUAGUUGAUUUGCAGCACAUGCUCUAUAGUUAGAUUUGGAAAUGUUCUCCUUCGAAGCAUAGCAUAAAUAAAUAAAGCUAGUCUGAAUCAGGAUGCUACCAGGAAAUCCUGUACUUUGCUUUGGCCAGCUUCUUGCCUAUGCUUUCGACAAUGCUAGCCUAAUGUCGUCCUAUACCAGGUUCUUAUACCAGUUCAGCACAAGAUAGGAGUGGUAAAGAAGAACUGGAGAAAAAAAGCCUCUAAGAGACACAGAGCUGCUACUGCUACUUAUAUACACUUUUUAACAUAAAUUCUCAAAGUGGUUAUAUAGAAAAAUGAGAAUAAAUAAAGAUGGUUCCCUGUCCCAUAGAAGCUCUCAGUCUUAAAGCAACAUAAGGUAGAGACCAGAAACUACCACUGGAAGGAUGCUGUCCUGUAGCCGAAUAGGGCCACUGCCUCAGCAUGCAUAGCAAUACCACCAGCACUCAUCAGUUUGGGGGAGGCAUGCUGACAAAGCCCACAUCUGGGUCAGGCAUAGAAGGAGCCAAACUACACUUGAUAUCGUCAUACCCCAUGACAUCGGCAUACCACACAAAACACACUGCAGUUGUGUUUUGAUCUGAUAGGAUAGCCACAGGACCUGCUACUGCAUGUGGUGCAGGCCCAUGCAGUGGCCAACUUGUGUGCAAUGAGCUAUCAGCAUGGAAAGAAAGAGGGGGCUGGCAUGUCUCUCUGUGUUGUCCCUUCCAGAAAGAAAAGCUCUGCCUUUUAUUUAAUGAUGAUGAUUAUGUUUCUGUUAUGUUUACUGUGGCACAUGCACAUUCAUACCACUCACACACAACAUAGACAACACUCACAUCCAAUUCAGAUUUCACUCCCACAUGAAACCAUUCACACAGACAGUCUAAAAAACCCAUUAUAGUACUUCCUCAUCACUUUUCUGUACCUUUCCCCAACAUCCCACUUUCCUCACCUGCUGUUUUUUCAACUUCUAAGUAAGUGAAAUAAUUAUAGACAUUCCGGCUGAAUUCAGAUGUAACACAAAACCAAAGUUAGGGGAAAGGUCCUGUGGUUUGUCCCACCAAACUCCAAAUUGAACCUUUGGUUUGCACAAAGGUUUGCUGCCGGGACCUCCAGUUUGGCCGCUGAAGUGUUAUGUCCAAUCCUAUAUGUCACCAUAACUGUGGCUUUGUGCCAAUUUUGAAACCCAGGAUCACAUCCGCUCCAUUCCUGUGGCUCUUCUUGCUGACUGCCUCUUCAAGCACCAGCCCACCCAUCCUGUCACCUAUGCUAUGGAGUUGCCUGGCAAAAGGGACACUGCCACGCCCCAUCCCAGACUUGCUGGCCUCUCAAGCAGCAUGGUCACAUAAGGGCAUUCCCUCUUCCCACUCUGUCCCUGGCUCUCAUUCUCUGCAGGAAGGAAGGAAAGGGGACGGGAUGACAGGAUGGGUACUAAGUGCAUUGCUCCCUGAGAAGGAUGUGGCAACAAUGUAUUUCACAAGCACAAAAACUCCAAGUGGCAACAUAAGCAGGGCACCCCAUCACAGUGCUGGGAGGGGGACAUUUGGCAGGGGGUGUUGCUGGGAUUGGCCAGCCCCAAGCAGGAAUUGUUUUUUUUAAAUUUAAAAGAUUUUUUAAAGUCAGGCCCAAGCACGGGUUCUUGAGCAGCCACAUUCUGGUUUUUUCACAUAAAGGUGGAGGAGCCCCCAACCCCUUCCCCUCUUGGUGUUUGCAGUCCCUAGGGUUAUUCAUGAGCAGAGCCAGUCACCAGGGUCAGCACUGCUCCAGUCAAAGGAGAGACAGCAGCUGUGAAGAAGGAGUAUGCUGAUCCAGGGUGGACCACGCUCGCUCAAGAGAGUGCCAGGGGACACCCCCUCACAACUCAUUAGAAAAACCAUCAGAAGGGAGGAAAGAGACUUGCCAAGCAAAAUCUUGAAUAAUGUGUGGCAACAAAACAUCCUCUUCUCCCACAGAGCGCUCUCUUACAAGAGUGCCAGCUUAUUGAGGCUCUAUAUCAAACUGGGUUGCUGGGUGGAGGAAAGCCACAGGGAUGGGUACCCUGGUGACUGCUUUCCCUGUCUUGAUAACUACCACCUCUUUGCUUAGCAGGUUUUGUUGUUGUUAUUCUGUGUGUGUUUUUUUUACCAUAGAGAUUUGGGGGGCCCAUACAAGCCGGGUCCCCUUUGAGGGAUUAGCUCAGCACAUGAGCACAGUCUGGAGGGAGACCUAGGCCUCACACCCCAUGGUCCUCCCCAGUAGAUUGGCCUUCUCAUGAAGGCGACCCCACUGGCAACAAGCUGCUAGCAGAGCAGGAGUUUGAUUUGGUUGGCAUGGACUGCUUUGACAGGGUGAUCCCUCACAACGGCAUCCUAGGUCAUGGUGGGACAUUACCGAAGAUCCCCCAAGAUCCUUUGCCUUCGCUCAUAUACAUAUCCCCUGAAAUGAUCUAACAGGAUGGGAUGUAACUGGAUAGGAGAGGUGAUUCUGUAGGUAAACAGGCGCCAAGCCCCGCAAGGCUUUGAAGGUAAGAACCAGGACUUUGAAUUGAAUUUGGAAGCGAAUGGGUAGCCAGUGCCGCGUCUGCAGGAGAGGUGUUACCCUAUCAUAUCUUUUGGCACUCUUCCUGCUGAGGGCGGACGGAGCACUCUGAAAAUGUAUGAUCACACUUGGCACGCCCCCUUCGAGAUUGUGGUCAAUCGAGGCUGCUCUGCCGGCAGGCUGGUGCUUUGCCCACAGUCUGGCCAUGGAGCUUGCUGGGAUCGGCCUUGGUGGCCAAGCAGCAGGGAGGGGCUCUCCUCUCCUGCAACCAGAGUUUGGCAGGCCACAGUUGGAAUGGGUUUGCCUCAGUGCUUUUCUCUUGGCGCUCCUCAGUUUUGAGGGGUAACUUGGCACAACCAAGGAUUUUCUGCAAAUCUUCAUGUUUUAUUAUUUAUUUUAAUAUCAUUCCUUUCUAUGACCAUGGUAAAGGUCCUUACAUAUGAACGUAAACUGGCUUUUAUUUUAUUUUACAGUUAUUUUUAUAUAACUGUAGGUUACCUUAGCCCUUCUGUCUCUGUAAGGUCCAAAAAACAGUAGCAUCUAAAAGUCUUUUUAGAUGCAUUUGGUUCAAUAAUUCAUGUAUUCUGAUUACACAGUCCCACUGAUUCUCCCUUGCAUGUAUUUAACAACAGAUCAAUGCAUUCACACAUGCUACAACUAAUAAACGCAUCUUGUGGAAAAUACUCUGAGAUUCUCCUAUCUUGUGCUCACAAACAUUAAAAUUAGAUUCAUCCAGCACCUUAUUCUCUCAGUUUGCUUUACAGCACAGUACCCUGUUUUGACAAAAUGGUUUAUAUGACUGGACAGGAGGGUCCAGGUAUCAGCAAUCAACUUGUCCCUUUGGAGCAGCAGGACUGGCUUUGCUCACUCACUAUCUGAGCUUUCAGCACUAAUUCAUCACCUGCAGCUAAUGUCUAUCCAUAAGAUCAGACUGCUCACAAAAUAUUCUGUUUACAGUUUCACUGAAAUAAACAUUCAAAGCUGAUUUAUACUGUGAUACACAGGGUAGGAGAAACAGCCUACCCUAGUUUGGGAGCUGUGCAUGGUCCCAUUUUCUGCUAGUCUGUGAGUAAAAAACAAGGCUGGAAGUGCUGACGGUGAUAGUCUUAAGCGGCUGCUGAGUAGGAGGGCUCUGGCCUACCUUGCAGCUGUACUUUUUGGUGAGAUAGGAGGAAUCAGUACCUCUGAGUUUAUUUUUUCACUCACACAAGAGCAGAAAAUGGGAUCGUGCACAGCUCCCAAAUGAAGGUAGGACUCCGACCCUAUUUAUCAUUGUGUGAAAUGCCUUUUAGACUUCCAUUAAUUAAUUUUUGUAUGAUGAUGUUAUAUUAGAGGGUUGGAGGCAGUACUGUUGGCUUUGCAAAUGAACCUCUUUCCAGAUGUAGAAUACACAGGACUCAAUUGCUCAUCCACAGUUUGCAUAGAAUGACAGUGCUGCUGUAUGAUGGUAAGUGUUAUAUAUUAAUUGCAUAUAUAUGUAUAUGCAUAUGUAUAAAACAUGGCAUAUGUAUAAAACAUGGCAUAAACAGUGGUUCUAAGUCUAUGCAGGAUGACUGGCAGCAGGACGAGAGAGAUCGCUGCAGGAGGGACCAGGGAACCCUGCCUUUGGAAUGCUGGGGAAGGCAGACAGGGAGAAGAGACUGCUAAAGGAAGUUGAGCACUGUUGGUCUGAGUAAGGAGAAGGGAAAGGUUAUUUCCUCUCCCACACCACCAAAAGAGAGCCCCUUCCCCACUCUACUACAGAGGGAGAAGAAGGAUCUGAGAUUCAGUCAUAUAGAUCUGAGUGGUGGCAGCAAACAGGCACCCUGGAGUAGGAUGGACUCUCACAUGCGGGGUGUGUGUGUGUGUGUGUGUGUGUGUGUGUGUGUGUGUGUGUGUGUAUAAGAUUCUUGUGAAAUGUUUUUCUCAGUGACUUUCAUAGCCUUCCUUCUUUCCUUCCAUCCACCUCUUACUAAUAUUUCAGCUAAUAUCUACAUUAUUGUACUACUGUUCUUAUGUAUAACUCGUUAUGUUACAUAUUUAGAAAUGUCAAAAUGCCAUAGAACAAAAUAAUGUUGCCAAGCAGCCUCCCCUUCCCCUGCUCACUUUGGAACCCUGGUUUCCUAUAGAAGCAAGGCUGAAUGAAGUGAAGCAUGGAAGAGCACUUGGUGCCAGGGAGGAAACUGACCUCUGUUAUCAAACAACUGUGUCAUUCAAAUCCAGAACCAGUGUAAAAGCUACUGUUAUGGUCCAGGCCUGAUUUAUAUACUAAAUAUGCUCAUUAGCUAGCAUACAAAAUUAGGCCUGUCUCACAGUGUAACCAAGUGACCAAGUUCUUUUAUAUAGUGACCAUGUAGGAUCUGGACGCAAGGAAGAAAGGAGAUCAUACCAAUCCUAAAGGAUUCAGUGGGCUUUAUUGAGUAUAAAAGAAUAACAACAUCAAUCUAACUGAGCCGAGAGCAGAACAUUCUAUCAGUAUUACUAACAACAUUUCAGCUCUAACCAGCAACAAUAUUCACCCAGUGUUCCUGGGCUUGGUUCAUCUGUUUUGAUAAUCUGGAAUAAAGUGCUCUACAUGCA